AUGAGAUUAGUAAAUUAUUCCAUUCCUUUUUUACUCACAAUUUGUACAGUGUCCCAACUUUUUUGGAAUCGGGUUUGUAUAUAUACAGGACAUUUUAGAGCUGGAGAAACUGGAGGUGCUUCCUUCUCUCAUAGAACUACGACAUACCAAGCAUGUGUGUUACAGGUGGCACGGCGAUUACUGCACAGACAAGCAGUGGUACUGCAUUUGUCUACACUGCAGGUUCUGGAUGGCAUGACAGUCACCCUUGAAGAAAGAACUAGAGCAGAGCUUUUAAAUAAUGAAGCACAGGUAGCUCAUGCUUACUAUCCAGAUCAAAUGAAUGGAUCAAAUAGAACUUAUACUGCAGAUACAGUUACCUUGUGCAUGUGUAUAGGGUUCUGCAGUAGUUUAGGAGGUGAAAUGACUUUACCCAGUUUGGUACCAUUGGUGACCCGACCAGCUCCUUUAAGAGUGACAUCAACUUCAGGCAGAUCCAGCCACUACAUGACAGCCCUGCAGCAGAUCGGAUAUAGAGUUCUCUCCACUUUCCCUGACGCCGAUCCUGAGACCAGGUCUGAAUAUACACACAUAUACACAUACAUAUACAUUAUAGAUCUUUAUGUGAUGUUGAAGCGUAAGAGGGUGUAUUAACCCUCAUGUUGUGUUCAGGAGAGGAUUUUCUUUUCCUGAAAUUGCUAAUUAAUAUUAUUCCAUUGGACUAAAACUUACUGACUUUGCUCACACAGGGUAUAACAACUUCCCAAAAACACAACUUCUAGUUAAUUUUUUGCCUUUUUUUUAAUAAUUUUGGAACUGAUUGGUCCCAGGCCUCAUUGAUCUGAGCUUAUGCACCUCCGAUUUUAAGUGAAUAUUGCCAAAAUUAUUCAAAGAUAAUGCUUUUUUACUCAAAAACUGAGAUGCAUAAGCUCCAAUCAGAGAGGCCUAUGACCAGGCAGUUCCAAAAAGAAACACAAAACCUGUGCUAAUUGAAAGAAAACAAGUUGACAAAAAGAUUCAAUCCAAGUUUAAGGUUUGGUGAUAAUAUAGCAUAAUUUACAGUUUUACGAUUUAUAAGCAUUUUUUAAAUGGUUGGUCAUUUUUGACUGGGAACCCCAAAUUAGGAUUUUUGGCACAGCACAAGGGGUAAUCUUGAUAUUCUCCACAGGUAGCAGUGUCACAGUGUACCCAGACCUUCUCCUCCUCUCUAAAGCAGAGUCAUAGACGCACUGUGUGAGUCGUGUAUUUUAGCUUUGGUCUUGUGUGUUGUUGUUCAUCUUUGGAUCUUAAAUAGGACAUCAAUGAACAGUUUGUUUAUUUAUUUGGAAUUGUGUCAGUGUCAAAGAUAUUACAUGUAUAUUUUCUAUUAAAUUCUAUUCAACUAUUCGAGAGUGGUGUCCUUUAUCUUAAGUCUUUGUUCAUGUAUCAUUUUCACUCUCUGUGAGGUUUGGUUUUAUUUUUAAUUGUAUUUGAUAGUUAUGAAGUCACUUCAAAUAUAAAAGUUCAUAAAAAACAUAUGUCAAAAACAUUUUUCUUGAAAACUGUAGUUGCU
ensembl:lncRNA